rnacentral:rRNA from 1 species
AGACCCGAAACCCGGUGAUCUAGCCAUGGGCAGGUUGAAGGUUGGGUAACACUAACUGGAGGACCGAACCGACUAAUGUUGAAAAAUUAGCGGAUGACCUGUGGCUGGGGGUGAAAGGCCAAUCAAACCGGGAGAUAGCUGGUUCUCCCCGAAAGCUAUUUAGGUAGCGCCUCGUGAAUUCAUCUCCGGGGGUAGAGCACUGUUUCGGCUAGGGGGCCAUCCCGGCUUACCAACCCGAUGCAAACUGCGAAUACCGGAGAAUGUUAUCACGGGAGACACACGGCGGGUGCUAACGUCCGUCGUGAAGAGGGAAACAACCCAGACCGCCAGCUAAGGUCCCAAAGUCAUGGUUAAGUGGGAAACGAUGUGGGAAGGCCCAGACAGCCAGGAUGUUGGCUUAGAAGCAGCCAUCAUUUAAAGAAAGCGUAAUAGCUCACUGGUCGAGUCGGCCUGCGCGGAAGAUGUAACGGGGCUAAACCAUGCACCGAAGCUGCGGCAGCGACACUGUGUGUUGUUGGGUAGGGGAGCGUUCUGUAAGCCUGUGAAGGUGUGUCGUGAGGCAUGCUGGAGGUAUCAGAAGUGCGAAUGCUGACAUAAGUAACGAUAAAGCGGGUGAAAAGCCCGCUCGCCGGAAGACCAAGGGUUCCUGUCCAACGUUAAUCGGGGCAGGGUGAGUCGACCCCUAAGGCGAGGCCGAAAGGCGUAGUCGAUGGGAAACGGGUUAAUAUUCCCGUACUUGGUGUUACUGCGAAGGGGGGACGGAGAAGGCUAUGUUGGCCGGGCGACGGUUGUCCCGGUUUAAGCGUGUAGGUGUGUGUUCCAGGUAAAUCCGGUUCACUUUAACACUGAGGCGUGACGACGAGGCACUACGGUGCUGAAGCAACAAAUGCCCUGCUUCCAGGAAAAGCCUCUAAGCAUCAGGUAACAUCAAAUCGUACCCCAAACCGACACAGGUGGUCAGGUAGAGAAUACCAAGGCGCUUGAGAGAACUCGGGUGAAGGAACUAGGCAAAAUGGUGCCGUAACUUC